rnacentral:rRNA from 1 species
AGCGAACGCUGGCGGCAGGCCUAAAACAUGCAAGUCGAACGGAUCCUUCGGGAUUAGUGGCGGACGGGUGAGUAACACGUGGAACGUGCCUUUUGGUUCGGAACAACUCAGGGAAACUUGAGCUAAUACCGAAUGUGCCCUUCGGGGAAAGAUUUAUCGCCAUUAGAGCGGCCCGCGUCUGAUUAGCUUGUUGGUGAGGUAAAGGCUCACCAAGGCGACGAUCAGUAGCUGGUCUGAGAGGAUGAUCAGCCACACUGGGACUGAGACACGGCCCAGACUCCUACGGGAGGCAGCAGUUAGGAAUCUUGCGCAAUGGGGGAAACCCUGACGCAGCCAUGCCGCGUGAAUGAUGAAGGUCUUAGGAUUGUAAAAUUCUUUCAGCGGGGACGAUAAUGACGGUACCCGCAGAAGAAGCCCCGGCUAACUUCGUGCCAGCAGCCG